rfam:Clostridium sp. CAG:58 genomic scaffold, scf262
CAAUUCCUGGAAUGUUCGAUACUCCUGUUUAUUUUGAACCUACAUUAUGACAAACGGGAUUCCUAUAUUUUUAAACGGAUGUCAGGCCUCCGUAUGAGUGGAAGGCAGAAGUUUAAGUGCGGUCGCCCACCUAGCAACGCUAGGAGUCAAUUAUGCAGGAACCGGCAUUUUGGGAUUUGC